rnacentral:miRNA from 1 species
AGGUACCACUGUAUGUUCUGGGUAUAAGCUUUCGUGUGCAUGCACACUUCUUCAGACACACAGAAAAAUCUGAAGAAGUGUAUCUAAAGAAAUGUGCUUGCACAAGAAAGUUUAUACCCAGAACAUACUUAGUUGG